rnacentral:rRNA from 1 species
UUAGAGUUUGAUCAUGGCUCAGAUUGAACGCUGGCGGCAGGCCUAACACAUGCAAGUCGAACGGUAACAGGAAACAGCUUGCUGUUUCGCUGACGAGUGGCGGACGGGUGAGUAAUGUCUGGGAAACUGCCUGAUGGAGGGGGAUAACUACUGGAAACGGUAGCUAAUACCGCAUAACGUCGCAAGACCAAAGAGGGGGACCUUCGGGCCUCUUGCCAUCGGAUGUGCCCAGAUGGGAUUAGCUAGUAGGUGGGGUAACGGCUCACCUAGGCGACGAUCCCUAGCUGGUCUGAGAGGAUGACCAGCCACACUGGAACUGAGACACGGUCCAGACUCCUACGGGAGGCAGCAGUGGGGAAUAUUGCACAAUGGGCGCAAGCCUGAUGCAGCCAUGCCGCGUUAUGAAGAAGGCCUUCGGGUUGUAAAGUACUUUCAGCGGGGAGGAAGGGAGUAAAGUUAAUACCUUUACUCAUUGACGUUACCCGCAGAAGAAGCACCGGCUAACUCCGUGCCAGCAGCCGCGGUAAUACA